GAUGAACGCUGGCGGCGUGCCUAAUACAUGCAAGUCGAGCGAACAGACGAGGAGCUUGCUCCUCUGACGUUAGCGGCGGACGGGCGAGUAACACGUGGAUAACCUACCUAUAAGACUGGGAUAACUUCGGGAAACCGGAGCUAAUACCGGAUAAUAUAUUGAACCGCAUGGUUCAAUAGUGAAAGACGGUUUUGCUGUCACUUAUAGAUGGAUCCGCGCCGCAUUAGCUAGUUGGUAAGGUAACGGCUUACCAAGGCAACGAUGCGUAGCCGACCUGGGAGGGGGGUCGGCCACAUGGGAGCGGGGACGGCGUCAUGGCGACGACGGGAGGGAGCAGUCGGGAAUGUGCGGCAGUGGGGGAAAGUUUGGCGGAAGAACCGGGCGUGGGUGGUAAAGGCCUUGGGUUCGUAAAACCGUCUUUUGGGGGAAAAACAAAUUUGGAAGUAAACAAGCCGUUCUUGGCGGUACUGAAUAAAAAAGCCCCGGCUAACUACGG
rnacentral:rRNA from 1 species